CACGUAGGGCGCGAGCGUUGUCCGGAAUUAUUGGGCGUAAAGAGCUCGUAGGCGGCCUGUUGCGUCCGCUGUGAAAGCCCGGGGCUUAACCCCGGGUCUGCAGUGGAUACGGGCAGGCUAGAGGUAGGUAGGGGAGAAUGGAAUUCCCGGUGUAGCGGUGAAAUGCGCAGAUAUCGGGAGGAACACCGGUGGCGAAGGCGGUUCUCUGGGCCUUACCUGACGCUGAGGAGCGAAAGCGUGGGGGAGCGAACAGG
rnacentral:rRNA from 1 species